AACGAACGCUGGCGGCAGGCUUAACACAUGCAAGUCGAACGCAUCCUUCGGGGUGAGUGGCAGACGGGUGAGUAACGCGUGGGAACGUGCCCUUCAGUUCGGGAUAACCCAGGUAAACUUGGGCUAAUACCGGAUACGUGCGAGAGCAGAAAGAUUUAUCGCUGAAGGAUCGGCCCGCGUCGGAUUAGCUAGUUGGUGGGGUAAUGGCCCACCAAGGCGACGAUCAGUAGCUGGUCUGAGAGGAUGAUCAGCCACACUGGGACUGGGACACGGCCCAAACUCCUACGGGAGGCAGCAGUGGGGAAUAUUGGACAAUGGGCGCAAGCCUGAGUCAGCCAUGCCGCGUGAGUGAUGAAGGCCUUAGGGUUGUAAAGCUCUUUCGUCCGGGACGAUAAUGACGGUACCGGAAGAAGAAGCCCCGGCUAACUUCGUGCCAGCCGCCGCCGUAA
rnacentral:rRNA from 1 species